rnacentral:rRNA from 1 species
AUGGAAGCUCCAGCCCCAGAUUGGUCCGGGCUACCGGCGGAUAUAUUAACCACCGUACUCCAGUUGCUCGAGUGCCCGGAUCUCCUCCGAUCCGCCUCCGUCUGCACAGCCUGGCACAAGGCGGUCUCUGUGCUCCGGCGUAUCGGUGUUUGCCCUGCCUCCCAGACACCCUAUUUACUCUAUUGCACUGAGGCCGCUGGCAGGAGCGCUCUUGGCAUGUACAGUCUCUCGGAGCGAAAGGCCUACACCAUGCCCCUGCCUGAACCUCCCAUCAACAACUGGAUUGGCUCAACACAUGGAUGGAUAGUCACCAUGGAUAAAAGGUCUGACCUGACGCUGCUCAAUCCGAUCACUGGUGACAGGAUUGCACUCCCUCCCGCAACGACCAUGGAACACGUCAAACCUAUCCUUAAUGAUGGCGGAGUUCUUGAGAAGUAUGAGGUGUCUUACUACGACGGAGAGCUUCCGAGGGUGGAGGAUACACCCUAUGUAUCUGAUUUGGACGAGUAUGGUGAUUUUUUCUAUACUAAGGCAAUUUUAUCAUCUGAUCCAUCGAAAGGUGAAUGCAUUGUCAUGCUCAUCCACCAGCCAUAUGCUCAGCUCUCGUUUACCAAAGUGGGAGAUGUUCACUGGAAUUGGCUCAAAAUAUGUAAUUUCUAUGCAGAUUGCAUAUCCCAUGAUGGAUGGUUCUAUGCAAUGACUCCUCAAGGUGCAAUUGAUGCGUUUAAUUUAAAUGGACCAUCUGUCAUCCACGAAAGAGUUUUGCCAGAUAUGUUUUUGUUUGGUGAAAGAUCAUACAUUGUUAAGGCCCCAUGGGGAGAUGUCCUCCAGGUUGAUAGGAAGCAGAUUCUGGAUCAUGAACAACCAGGUGGUGAGACGUAUAUCACUAAAAUCGAAGUGUACAAGGUAGAUUUUGUUGAGCAAAAGCGUGUCAAGAUGAAAGGAAUAGGUGACCAUGCGUUGUUUAUCGGCAAAAGUACAACGUCUUGCUUCAGUGUAAAGCAUCAUCCAGACUUGAUGCCAAACCAUGUAUAUUUUACUGAUGAUCAUGAUGACGAACUAGUAACCGGGAAAGAUGAUCUCCGUGACAUAGGAGUGUACAACUUGGAAACUGAUACCACAUGUAAGGUGGUUUAUCCUGAACCCUGGCGGACGUGGUUCCCUCCAAUAUGGUUGACACCCAACCUUGCAAAAAGAGGCUUUCAAGAUAAUAAUUGUGGGAGGGAACUCUCCAGUGCUUAA